rnacentral:lncRNA from 1 species
UUCGCUACGGAGAGCCCCUUGGAACAAUUUUCCAUUCCUCUCGCUCUCGGUCUCGGUUUGGUCUUACUCAUUUCUUUCUUUUUAUUGCGUAAAGUAUGGAAAAACUGGUAUUUUUUUUGCGAGAAGCAGAAAGAACUCUUAUUAGGCUUGCUUGUGAUUCAAAACCAGCAAGGAAAGGAAAGAGUAGUCGUUUUCAAAAUAGUAAGUAAGAUGUC